rnacentral:lncRNA from 10 species
UCUUGAACUCCUGAUGUCAGGUGACCCACCAUCUUGGCCUCCCAAAGUGCUGGGAUUACAGGCAUGAGCCGCCAUGCCCAGCCCAUUUGAGUUGUAUAAUAGUGGAUAAAAUUCAGAAACAUUAAUGCCCCAGUUCUGCUUAAUAACUAGCUUUGCACAGGCAAAUAGUCACAGAUUAUGUCUAUACUUGAAAUCCAAGGAGGAAAUCAAAACACAUGCACCACCUAAUCUACUUCUCUGUCUACUUUCCUCAACCUACCCAAUAGCUGCAUUUUGGCACUUUGGCCAACCUCCAAGAGUGGUUUACAAAGCAAAAUAUCUUGUGGAGGAGUUCUCAUAUUCAUAAGAUCAGGUUUCUUUGUAUAUCUGGUGAGAAGAGAGUGUAACCAGGAAGGCAGAUGAAGCCAUUUUUUAAAUCAAAAGAACAUCUUACUGCCUAUGAGUCUUUACCUGUCUUGCUACUGAUGCCACCACAAGUGUCUUGAAGGGAAGGACAGGAAAGUUUUGGGGAAAGUGAUAGAGUAAGGAGCUUUCAUGCUCUAGGCUUCCCCAUGAUCACUAAUGGCAAUGCAACUCUUUGGAAGAGUAACUCAUUUGGUCAUAGAUACCAAGUUUAAAAAUAUUCACACUCUGAAAACAGGAUAAUACCACCUGCCCCCUGAUUACCCGACAGAGGCUUUGCAAAUAUGAAUAUGAAUAUAAAAAGUUACACAGAUUUUAAGUAUUUGCCAUUCAAUAAAUAUUUACUAACCAUCAAGAUGUGCAUGGCAUUUCACUCAUCUGGAGAUACCGAGGUAAUCCCCUGCCCUUGUGUAUUUCAUAGCUGUUUGGGAGACACACAUAAGUAAAUGGGCAUUAGAUACAAGAUGAUGUGAAGAUGUCUUUGCUGCCGCCUCCUCCCCUAUUGGAAGAACCCAAAGUUAAGAAAGACAAGGUCAGGCCAGGAACUCUGGCCAAUAAUGAUAAUAGUUAUAGUAGCUAAUAUUGUUUGCUUAGUAAGUAUAUUAGUUUAUAAGGCUCCCAUAACAAAGCACCACAGACUGGGUGGCUUAAACAAAAGAAAUCUAUUUUCUCACAGUUCUGGAGGCUAGAAGUCUAAGAUGAAGGUGUUGGCAGCAUUGGUUUCUUCUGAGGCCUCUCUCCUUGGCUUGUAGAUGGCCGUCUUCUCCCUGUACCAUCACUUUUGGUCUCCUUCUGUGUCUGUCUGGGUCCAAAUUUCCUCCUCUUAUCAAGGACACCAGUCCUACUGAAUCAGAGCCCACCCUAAAAACCUCAUUUUUAAUUUAACUGCCUCUUUGAAGACACUAUCUGCAAAUACAGUCACAUUCUGAGAUACAUAGGAUUAGAGCUUCAACAUAUGAAUUUGAGGGGGUCAAAAUUCAGCCCAUAAUAAUAUGUAUAAGGCAAUACGCUAAUUGCUUUACAAAUAUCUCAUUUAUAUCUGACAGCCAAUUGCAUGCAAGAACGCUGAUGCAUGGAGAGAUUAAGCAAUAAGAUUAGGUAGUAGGCGGUAGAGUCAUAAUUCAAAUCCAGGCAGACAGACUCCAGAUCCCGCACUCUCCACCACCACCCACACUACAUAUGGGCUUUCUUCAUUCAUUCUACCAGAUCCAUUCAAAUUUCCCAAAGGAGGGAAAAUGAAGUGCCUGCUGUCACAAGCAAAUAGAAAAACACCAUUCUCCAAGCCAGUGAGAGGUAGCAGAGGGGCCCCAGCUAGUCCUCAAGUCUGUCCUUGUGAACCAUAGUCUCUUACUCCAUCCUUACCGCCCCAGGGAGCCUCUAGCAGUGAGUGGUGUGGUCAGAGGUUGGCCACUAAGUCUAUGCUCAUGCCUGACCAAAUCCAUGAAGAUGAAGUAGGAGUGGGAUGACAGAGUCAGCCCCUAAUUCCUCAUGGAAAGCACAGGGGGCAAAACUUGAAUAUCACAUAGUCAUACUUAGGAGCUUGAAAUCCAAUCCUCUCCUGCCCAGUGGCAAGACUUCUAGAGUGCUGUUUUAGGAGCCAGAAAAGGUCAAGGUUUGCCCAGCAUAUCUGGCAUGAGGCAAAGUAUCUAGAGGAAGAUCUCUGCCAGAGCAGAGUGCAAAGCUGUAAACUCAAGUCACUGAAAGCAGAGAUGGCAGCAGUCAAGGACACCUGGAGUGUCAUUUAUUAUAAUUGCUUAGAUAAGA